rnacentral:lncRNA from 1 species
GCACAUGCGCAGUAAUCAGGCCAAACGGACUUGACACCAUCUGCGGUCAUAGUCCAAAGUCCCUAACUUUGACCACAGGGCUAGUUCCAUUCUGAUAGACUCUGUGGGUUCCACAACUAUCUUGCCUGCAGCUCUGCAUUUAGGGACACCCAAAUUGGAAGAGGACUUACUGGUCCUUUCAAGGGGGAGACGGAGGCUUUCAAGGAUGCUGUGCUAAGAAGGGUCCCAGCAUUCAGCCUGAGCCCCAGGUUCUGCUCAGAAACACCAACCCACAGCUUUUGCAGGCCUGCAGAGACCAAGACACCUCACCACGCCCUCAAAGAGCCAGAGGAAUGUUGGACACUGUGAAACCGUAGAGGCGAGUCACCCCUGGGAACACAUAGGCCAGGAUACGCCGGUCAAGCUGGAACGCGAUCUCCCCAACGAUUCGGCCAUCCUUCUCAGCACCCGAAAAACUCUGGAUCUCUGGAUGCUGUUCUGCCACCCCACCAACUCAGCCUUCUCUGAGGACAGCAGGAGACAUCACAGCCUGGAUCUGGAAAGAGCCAGCCUCUUCCAGUCUACAGCAUUGCCACCAAAGACAGGCCAAUGUCUGAAAGGAGUAACCAACCACUUUCUGACUGGAUUUGAGACCGGCUCCACAGGCAGGAAGACGUUGAGGCCAUGCCAUGAGGAGGAGCCAUCUUUUCAAGAGUUGGCGCUGGAAUAGCUUCUACAAGCAAACCUCACACCACAGACAAAACCCCAAACACUUGGUCCUAGUCAGAGACCUAAAUCCAAAACCUAAAGCUACGAGACCUCUAAAAGAUUAAAGAGCAUCUAUAACCUUGGC